rnacentral:rRNA from 1 species
UACAGAGGUCUCAAGCGUUGUUCGGAUUCAUUGGGCGUAAAGGGUGCGUAGGCGGCGCGGUAAGUCGGGUGUGAAAUCUCGGAGCUUAACUCCGAAACUGCAUUCGAUACUGCGGUGCUUGAGGACUGGAGAGGAGACUGGAAUUCAUGGUGUAGCAGUGAAAUGCGUAGAGAUCAUGAGGAAGACCAGUGGCGAAGGCGGGUCUCUGGACAGUUCCUGACACUGAGGCACGGAGGCCAGGGGAGCAAACGGG